UGCCUAGGAGCUGCCGAUUAGUGUGGGACAACGUUUCGAAAGGAACGCUAAUACCGCAUACGUCCUACGGGAGAAAGCAGGGGACCUUCGGGCCUUGCGCUAAUAGAUGAGCCUAGGUCGGAUUAGCUAGUUGGUGAGGUAAUGGCUCACCAAGGCGACGAUCCGUAACUGGUCUGAGAGGAUGAUCAGUCACACUGGAACUGAGACACGGUCCAGACUCCUACGGGAGGCAGCAGUGGGGAAUAUUGGACAAUGGGCGAAAGCCUGAUCCAGCCAUGCCGCGUGUGUGAAGAAGGUCUUCGGAUUGUAAAGCACUUUAAGUUGGGAGGAAGGGCAUUAACCUAAUACGUUAGUGUUUUGACGUUACCGACAGAAUAAGCACCGGCUAACUUCGUGCCAGCAGGCGCGGUAAUACGAAGGGUGCAAGCGUUAAUCGGAAUUACUGGGGCGUAAAGCGCGCGUAGGUGGUUUGUUAAGUUGGAUGUGAAAGCCCCGGGCUCAACCUGGGAACUGCAUCCAAAACUGGCAAGCUAGAGUAUGGCAGAGGGUGGUGGAAUUUCCUGUGUAGCGGUGAAAUGCGUAGAUAUAGGAAGGAACACCAGUGGCGAAGGCGACCACCUGGGCUAAUACUGACACUGAGGUGCGAAAGCGUGGGGAGCAAACAGGAUUAGAUACCCUUGUAGUCCACGCCGUAACGAUGUCGACUAGGCGUUGGAUCUUUGAGAUCUUAGUGGCGCAGCUACGCAUUAGUCGACCGCCUUGGGGGAUACGUCGCCAGUCAAACUCAAUGAUCGACGGGGGUCUGCCUAGGCGGUGGGAGCAUGUGGUUUUAUUCGGAGCCACGCGGACGAC
rnacentral:rRNA from 1 species